GUGUCAGCCGCCGCGGUAAGACGUAGGGGGCAAGCGUUGUCCGGAUUUAUUGGGCGUAAAGCGCGCGCAGGCGGCCCGGUACGUCGGGUGUGAAACCCCGGGGCUCAACCCCGGGACGCCGCCCGAAACUGCCGGGCUAGAGGCAGGUAGGGGAGAUCGGAAUUCCCGGUGUAGCGGUGAAAUGCGCAGAUAUCGGGAGGAACACCGGUGGCGAAGGCGGAUCUCUGGGCCUGUCCUGACGCUCAGGCGCGAAAGCUGGGGGAGCGAACAGGAUUAGAUACCCUCGUAGUCC
rnacentral:rRNA from 1 species